rnacentral:rRNA from 1 species
UACGGAGGGUGCAAACGUUGCUCGGAAUCACUGGGCGUAAAGGGUGCGUAGGCGGGUUUUUAAGUCAGAGGUGAAAUCCUGGAGCUCAACUCCAGAACUGCCUUUGAUACUGAGAAUCUUGAGUAUGGGAGAGGUGAGUGGAACUGCGAGUGUAGAGGUGAAAUUCGUAGAUAUUCGCAAGAACACCAGUGGCGAAGGCGGCUCACUGGCCCGAUACUGACGCUGAGGUGCGAAAGCGUGGGGAGCAAACAGG